GGGUGAUCGGCCACAUUGGGACUGAGACACGGCCCAAACUCCUACGGGAGGCAGCAGUAGGGAAUCUUCGGCAAUGGACGAAAGUCUGACCGAGCAACGCCGCGUGAGUGAAGAAGGUUUUCGGAUCGUAAAACUCUGUUGUUAGAGAAGAACAAGGAUGAGAGUAACUGUUCAUCCCUUGACGGUAUCUAACCAGAAAGCCACGGCUAACUACGUGCCAGCAGCCGCGGUAAUACGUAGGUGGCAAGCGUUGUCCGGAUUUAUUGGGCGUAAAGCGAGCGCAGGCGGUUUCUUAAGUCUGAUGUGAAAGCCCCCGGCUCAACCGGGGAGGGUCAUUGGAAACUGGGAGACUUGAGUGCAGAAGAGGAGAGUGGAAUUCCAUGUGUAGCGGUGAAAUGCGUAGAUAUAUGGAGGAACACCAGUGGCGAAGGCGGCUCUCUGGUCUGUAACUGACGCUGAGGCUCGAAAGCGUGGGGAGCAAACAGGAUUAGAUACCCUGGUAGUCCACGCCGUAAACGAUGAGUGCUAAGUGUUGGAGGGUUUCCGCCCUUCAGUGCUGCAGCUAACGCAUUAAGCACUCCGCCUGGGGAGUACGACCGCAAGG
rnacentral:rRNA from 1 species